rnacentral:rRNA from 1 species
UCCCCAGCACCAGGAGGACCCCCGGCCUAACAACACCUAUAAAGUUUGACCUCAAAUCAGGUAGGACUACCCGCUGAACUUAAGCAUAUCAAUAAGCGGAGGAAAAGAAACCAACAGGGAUUGCCUCAGUAACGGCGAGUGAAGCGGCAAAAGCUCAAAUUUGAAAUCUGGCGCCCUUCUUGGGUGUCCGAGUUGUAAUUUGAAGAUGGCGACUGUGGGGCUGGCCUUUAUCUAUGUUCCUUGGAACAGGACGUCACAGAGGGUGAGAAUCCCGUCUGAUGAGGUGACCCAGCUCUUUGUACAGUGCCUUCGACGAGUCGAGUUGUUUGGGAAUGCAGCUCUAAGUGGGUGGUAAAUUCCAUCUAAAGCUAAAUAUUGGCGAGAGACCGAUAGCGAACAAGUACAGUGAUGGAAAGAUGAAAAGAACUUUGAAAAGAGAGUGAAAAAGUACGUGAAAUUGUUGAAAGGGAAGGGUAUUAGAUCAGACUUGGUGUGCGGUUGAUUAGCUUCCCCUUGUGGGUUGUGUACUCGGCGUGCGCUGGGCCAGCAUCGAUUCGGAGCGGCAGGAUAAUGGUAGGGGGAACGUGGCAGGUGUCUUUGGCAGCUGUGUUAUAGCCCUCUGCAGAUGCUGCCAGCCUGGAUCGAGGACUGCGUCUUUAUGACUAGGAUGCUGGCGUAAUGAUCUAAUAUCG